rnacentral:lncRNA from 1 species
GUUUUCCAAGGAAUCUCCAUACUGCUCUCCCUAUUGGUUGCACCCAUUUGCAGUCCUUCUCCCCCACAUCCUCUCCAACACUUAUUGUUGUUUGUCUUCAUAAUAGCUGCCAUUCUGACUGGAGUAGUUUUGAUUUGCAUUUCUCUAAUUGCUAGAGAUGUUGAACAUUUUUUCAUAUAUUUGUUGAUUGAUUGUAUAUCAUCUUUUCAGAAGUGUCUGUUCAGGUCCUCGGCCCAUUUAUUGAUUGGGUUAUUUGUUUUUCUGGUGUUAAGAUUUUUGAGUUCUUUAUAUAUCCUAGAGAUUAGUGCUCUAUCUGAUGUGUAUGUGGUAAGAACUUGUUCCCAAUUAGUAGGCUCUAUAUUCACCUCACUGACUGUUUCUUUUGCUGAGAAGCUUUUUAGUUUGCAU